rnacentral:ncRNA from 1 species
UAUAUUUGCCGCUCGAAAGAGAGGCUUUCGUGUACAUAACAAUCAUUUACAAUAAUAUUAGAAUG